AACCUGUAGAUGUUCUGAACCAGUAAUGAUGGAGACCUCCAGCGCUCCCUCCCACCCAACCAUCUGGAGCAGCAGCCGUUACCUCUGGUCAGCACCUCAUGCCCGGACGGACACUCGCUGUGUCGGAAGCAUAUGUCGUACUUCGUGUAGUAUCCCUGUUUACACUCGCACCGGCAGUCGCUGUACGCGGAGCACGGCGUCUUCACCACCUGGUUGUGGCCGCACACGCCGCAGCGCAGGCACUUGCUAAUGUAGUUCCACAGCUCCGUGAACGAGCCCGACGGGCACGGCGCGCACUCGCUCCUGCUCGUCGCCGUGCAGCUCGAGCGCAGGUAGGUCCCGGGGGCGCAGCGGUCGCACUCCACGGAGUUGCCGGUGAUCGGGUCCGUGACUCUGAAGGUGAGGAGCGGCCCGGCGACGCCAUCGACCCGAGCAGCGCGCAUCGAGAGCAGCACCAGCAAGACAAGCGAUGCCCACAUCUGGAAGUGAGGAGGAAACAGGAUAUUAUGGAGGGAAAUCUACGGGAAUACGAUGUUAUGUGAGGAGCCACAAGGAAUAUGAAGUAGAUGCUGCCAAGUUAAAGGAGGAAACGUGGAGAAAUACAGGAAAACAACAAGCAAAACAAGGACAGGCGCGCGAGAACUGGUGUCACCCCUGGAACAGCUUUCCAUGUUGUUGGGUCUGUGAGGCAGCAGGAAGGACACGGUCUGCAGCUCGCCGACGCAGGCCGCCACCGGUAGCGCCGAGUUCCUGCAGCUGGUCAACACCGCAAAGAAAUGGAAGAGAGCGCUGUUUGUCUUUGCAGGUCUGCCACGCCCCUUGAGGAUCACUGAAGCACCCACACCUGAGAGUCCUCAUCUCGUCAGUGGAGCUGCAUAUCAACCCCCGAAUCCAGUGUUCCCGGCCCUCGUUUGUUCACUCUGGGCCUGUGGGGCUGUGGGUUUGCAGCAGCAGCCGCUGCCGCCGCUGCCGCCGCUGCCAAGAGCAUUUGUGCUGCCAUACCUGGGGUUCAAACUUAAUGGAAGCUUUGUAGGGGUUCUCUGCCUUUUAUUUUGUAAAGUUUUCUCCUGUUUUUGACUAGUUAGGGAGUUCAGUAUUGUGUUUUGUUUGUAGUUCAGCUGAUCUCUUCUUUUCCUGCUAGAAUGGGGGUUUUGUUUAUUAUGUUGGCCUUAGAGACCCUGACGGCUACGCUUCCUUAUUUAGUUUGAACUAAUGACACACAGCAUGACAACUGAGGAAAGUUUUGUCGAGCUUCUGAUACAAUCAGCAGACUAGGUAAGAGCCAUUACACAACUUCAGCGGGAAAUGCUGCUCUAGUUUUCCCGAUUCUCAUGAUUCCAUGUUUAGUCAGCCAGCUCUCUCAGGAAUGUGGUGCUGCUGUUUGCUUUGAGGGUAAACUAAGGAAGAACUAAUCGCACCUGUGCAUGCACUGAGUGCCGCCGUGUGGCCAUUAACAAAACACUUUUUGUUUUUAAUAACUAGUGAAAUGGUAGAUGAUUAGUAUUUCCUGGAUUCCUUUGUUAAAUAAAUUCUUUUUUGCAAAACACAUUUUCAAUGCUCACACUACAAUUUUCCAUAAUUCUGUACAGACAUGUCCUAUUUUACAUAAAGUGCAAGAAGUCUUGAAUGCAUUGUGCAGCUGCAGCCUGAUUUAGAUCACACGCUAACGUCAAAUCCGAGUGGACCUGGAGAAACGUGGUGGUUUUACCGAGAGGUGGCGCUACAGCAACAGGGUGAAAUGAAAUCGUCACGAAUCAGUGAUCAGGAAUCGGAUAACUUGACAUUGUGCACAAUUCAUCCUCGUACAAAGCCACAUCAUCGUGAUCUAUCACCAUUGUAUUUCAUAGGAUUGUAAUCUAAACAUUUGAAUAUUUCAAGUAUUAAAAUCAUAUAACUUUUACCGUUUUUCCUUCACCAUUGACACACUUACCGGCUUGUCGAUGGUGAAGGAGCUCCACAGAGGCAUCAGAGCGUCAUGGCUGUAGGCGAUGAUGAAUCCUUCCUGGUGGAGAACGCAGUAACUCUGGUCAGGCUGCAGCAUCCGGGGACGACCAAACAACAUGUGCUUCUUCUCUGCAGCGGACUCUGAACAACAAUAAUGGCACUUUCCUUUACGUUGCCCAAUCAGUGGCAUUUAGACGAUGCUGGACGUCAGCAGGGAGACGAAUGCGAAUCCAAUCCAGUAAUGUGGAGAAACACAAGUAAUCCUGUUUCCUCAAAGUGCAUUCAGUCGGGAUAUUGUGUGUUGUAAAUGAAAAGAUUGACGACAUAAGAAUCCAAACAUGUAGAAAAUAAAAACACAAGUUCACAGAUCUUAGAGGCAUUUGGGGAACCUCCUCACCUUCCUCUGCUGUCAGAUUCAGACGGCUGUUGAUAGCAUUUCCACUCUGAGGAGAGACAAAGAAAACAAAUGCUAUUAAUGGAAAUGAAUGUUUUAUAGUACACCAAUAACAUACCUAAAUAUGGUCAAAUAUAGCAUAAUAUGCUUGCUUGUAGAAGAUGUAAAAAACAAACUGAUACAUCGGUUUUUAUGCACCCGUUUAACGGCAGAAAACCGAUUUGAACAGUGAUCCCGUGUUGUUGACCUCGCUGUCAUUAACUCUGGAGCUAUUUUCACUUUGUCCAGUUUCCAUUCCUCAUGAAGAAUAUCAGACACUGAGCUGAAAGUUCUGCCUUAAAGAUAAAUGUUCUUCUGUUCCCAAGUGUUUCUUGCUUUCUUUUCCAUUCUUCCGAGCUCUUCUUCAUCCUGCCUUCAUUAUUGUCUGUUUCCUGUUUCCAUUCAUGUUUCUGAAUUGUUCUCCAGAUGUGAUGCUUGGUUUAUUUCCACUAUUUGUUUUUAUCCAAAGCAACAAUAAGACAAUAAAACCCCCAAAGUGCAAGAAUCCUGCAAGUACAGCUUCAGCAAAUGCUUUGAACCCCAUCAAGUGCAACAUUUAGAGACGAUAAGAGAUGCUGAACACGUUCAUCAUUUCAUGGGCCAAGGUGAAGUCUGAACAGAUGAGUUUUCAGUUUCCGACAGACAAACAGUUCUAGAAUAUUUAUCUGGGUGAACAAAUCUCCCAACUCCUCAUGGAACCACAUCCAGUGAAACCAGCUGCGUAAGAACUUCGCCUCGAAAUGACCCUGGUGGUGUAAUGCGGGGAUGUCUCGGCUUCACUCCACAAGUGGAUGAAGAGAUUGAAAGAUGUGGAUUUCAUCAGACAGGAGGACUUCAUAAAAGACGCUAUUCGGUUUCGCAAUGGGAAUUGAAAGAGCGAGCAUUUUUGGAGUUUGACGCAUACUAUGGAUUAAAAGUCAGGAUACCUCGACCUUUGAAGUGCAAUACUGAGUCAUGGGGAGAAUCAAUUACACCCACAGUUCACAUAUUACUGACACCAUUGCAAAAUAGAACAUGAUAGCAAUAAGAGUAAAGUAAAUAAAUAAAGUAAAAGAAAAUUAAACUGAAAUAGAAAAAGUAAAAGACAACAUCUUUGUCAGCAUCACAUCAGUUGUUUCAUUGUGAAGCUGGCUCCAGGUCUGUUAUUCUUGUUGUUUUAAGAAGGCUGACCUGAAUGGAGUCCGAGUCUGAGCCUCUAACCAGACUCUUGUUAUAACAUCUGACGUCGUUGUCUGGAAUAGCACGAACCUUCUCCUGCUAAAAACAAUGACACUUGUCCUUACUGAGUCUAGAAAGCAUUCCUGAAUUAUUAAUAUGACUACGGCAUUAAAUAUUCAGGCCAAAGAAAACCUCACAAUGCUGCCAAAUAUUACAUAAUUUGAGCAGACGUUCACUUUUCUGCCCCUCUGUUUACGUGAUUCUGCUGUUAUGGAGGUUACCGACUACUACGUAUGUUAAGUACUUUUAGUGUCGUGUUCCGAGGUUCUGGUACUUUACUCGAUACAUUUCAGCCGUACGUGUGUGUGUGUGUGUGUGUGUGUGUGCGUCCGUGAGUGAGUGAGUGUGCACCUCCGUGUCUGUCCACGG